rnacentral:rRNA from 1 species
AGGAAUUGGCGGGGGAGCACCACAAGGGGUGAAGCCUGCGGUUCAAUUGGAGUCAACGCCAGGAAACUUACCAGGAGAGACAGCAGAUUGAGGGUCAGGCUGAAGGCCUUACCUGACGAGCUGAGAGGAGGUGCAUGGCCGUCGCCAGCUCGUGCCGUGAGGCGUCCUGUUAAGUCAGGCAACGAGCGAGACCCCUAUCCGUAAUUGCUAACUGCCCAGAGAUGGGCAGAGGCUAGUUACAGAGACUGCCGCUACUAAAGCGGAGGAAGGAAGGGGCCACGGCAGGUCAGUAUGCCCCGAAACUCCUGGGCCACACGCGGGCUGCAAUGGUAGGGACAAUAGGUUCCGACCUCGAAAGAGGAAGGCAAUCCUCAAACCCUACCCCAGUUGUGAUUGAGGGCUGAAACCCGCCCUCAUGAAUAUGGAAUCCCUAGUAACCGCGUGUCAUCACCGCGCGGUGAAUACGUCCCUGCUCCUUGCACACACCGCCCGUC